rnacentral:rRNA from 1 species
GACGAACGCUGGCGGCGUGCUUAACACAUGCAAGUCGAACGGAAAGGCCCUGCUUGCAGGGUACUCGAGUGGCGAACGGGUGAGUAACACGUGGGUGAUCUGCCCUGCACUUCGGGAUAAGCUUGGGAAACUGGGUCUAAUACCGGAUAGGAGCCAUCUUGAGUGGGGUGGUUGGAAAGUUUUUUCGGUGUAGGAUGAGCUCGCGGCCUUUCAGCUUGUUGGUGGGGUAAUGGCCUACCAAGGCGGCGACGGGUAGCCGGCCUGAGAGGGCGUACGGCCACACUGGACCUGUGCUACGGCCCAGACUCCUACGUGUGGCAGCAGUGGCGAAUAUUGGACAAUGGGCGCCCGCCUGAUGCAGCGACGCCGCGUGGGCGAUGAAGGCCUUCGGGUUGUAAACUCCUUUCGCUAGGGACGAAGCUUUUUUGUGACGGUACCUAGAUAAGAAGCACCGGCUAACUACGUG